rnacentral:rRNA from 1 species
UACAGAGGGUGCAAGCGUUAACCGGAAUUACUGGGCGUAAAGCGUGCGUAGACGGUUAUGUAAGUCAGGUGUGAAAGCCCCGGGCUCAACCUGGGAAUGCCAUUUGAGACUGCAUAGCUAGGGUACGGAAGAGGGAAGCGGAAUUUCAGGUGUAGCGGUGAAAUGCGUAGAUAUCUGAAGGAACACCAGUGGCGAAAGCGGCUUCCUGGUCCAGUACCGACGUUCAGGCACGAAAGCGUGGGGAGCAAACAGG